CAUUAUAUAAAGUGACAAGAUAUAUAUAUAUAUAUAUAUACUUUAAUUAUUUCACUUACAGAAUUUCAGACAAUAAUUUAUUUUUGAAUUUUCCAUUAAAUGAAUUGCAGGUUACAAUUAAUUUAUUUUCAAGUAUCUCUAUUUAAUUAAUUAGUAUACACAAAAAUUAUUUCCAUGCAGUCUCUUUCUUAUCAAUUAGUGAUAGAAAUGAUAUGUGCCAUCUGGUUUCUAUUUAUCUCUGUGAUAUUGACAGGAAAUGAUGUACAAAAGAGUUGGGGCCCAGUGAAGGAGACCACAUUGUUUUGUACAUUUCUCUGAAAUUUCUACAACUUAAAAUAUAAGGAAAAUAGAUAAAAUCAUGUGAAUAUUUUUUAUUUAUUAUUAUAUAUAUCAAAUAUUUAAGAUUUAGGUAAUUUAAAUAGUAUGAUUAGGGAAACAGUUCAAACAACUCCCUAAACAACCCCAACAGAUUCAAAAUUUGAACUUGCAGACAACAAGCAAAGAUGUCUAAUUUAUCAUGAACAAAAUAUGAAUUUUACAAUGGAUGUAGAGUUUAGACUAAAAAGUUCCAAAGUAUUCUAUUAACAUUAAAAAGUGCAGAUGUAUUCUUCUGAUGACAUGACUAUUGGAUUUAGGAAGAUUGAUGUUUUCAUAUAUUUUGGAUUAAAUCUUUUGAACUGGUGAAAAGAAAAUUUAAAGAAUGAUGUAUGCGCAGACUAUUAGUUUUAAUAUAAUCUUUUCAAAAUGUUUUCUGAUAGGACUGAAGAAUGGAAACACAAUCAGACUUUGAUUUAUGUAACUGCUUGGUGCACAAAACACAACAAAUGCAUACAAGAUGGUCAGAUUAAUGAUGCUGUUACAGAGCAAAUCAGUUAUGCACGAAAGAAAUUAAGGAAAUUGUGAUAAUACUUUUUAUUCGAAGAACACUGAAAAGACAUUAAAAUAUGACUAAUAACUGAAAAUGAAGAAAUUGGGAAGAACUAAAAAUGUCAAUAUUAUACAUGUAGUAAAUUGUAGUUGCUUAAAUACAGUCGAUCAAGUUUGAUAACAAUUUUACUAUUUUAUUUGUAUGAAGGCCUAGUUUUUCUUUGCAAGAAUGCAUAGAAAUGGUAAAAACCUGGAUCUGUGGAAUGAAAAAUUUCCUUCAUUGAAGGCAGAAUUUUUUUCAUAUUCUUAAGGCGGAAUUUUUUUCAUAUUCUAAGGCGGAAUUUUUUUCCAAUUUUUAAGGCGGAUUUUUUUCUCACUUCUAAAAGCGGAUAUAUUUUCCGUCUCUUUAGGCGGAUAUAUUUUCCGUCUCUUUAGGCGGAUAUUUUUUGAGAAAAACAUUUUUCCUUUUAAUCAGACGGAAUUUUUCCCCCCUAAGACAGGCGGAUAAAUUUGCAUAUUUCGGCCCUAUUCCGCCCUGAACCCGCCUGGAAUCCAUGUAAGAAAGAUUCAUCGUGUAAAGGGGGACUUUAAACAGAUUCCUUCUAAAAUUUCCGUCUGGAAUCCAUGUAAAAUACGCCUGGAUUUUUUCGUAC